UAAGCCAUACCACAUUGAAAACAUCAGUUCUCGUCCGAUCACCGAAGUUAAGCAAUGUCAGGCCUGGUCAGUACUUGGGAGGGUGACCACCUGGUAACACCAGAUGUAGCUCUAGGCU